CACAUCAUGUCCGCUCUUUGAUGCUUUACGGAUGGAGAGCGGGACCUUCAAGUUCUGUCAAAAAGUACUCGUUUGUUUUAAAAUCUGCGUUACCGCGGCAGUAUCUUGCACCCGUUGUGCGCGGGACCCACUCCGACAUAGAGAGAGAGCGAAAUAACCAUUGAGAAACGUUCUGCGAAGCCCAAUGUUUUGGAACGCCUGGGACAAGUCGAUCCCUAUUCUUUGUCGUCUUCGUGUUCUUCCACCCAUAGCGAGCGCUUGAUACAGUCGAUGUGUUUGAUGUUCUUCGUUGGUGACGCCGUACGCUCACCAUCUUGUGUGAGCGGAAGAUUAGACGCCAAAAUCGCCAGCAGCGACGGCACCGUGAGAUCCAAACCUGUGUCUGCUGUCAUCCGUCGAGCCAGCAUUGGUUAACGAAAGCGUUUCUCAAGUCAAGGGCUUUCACGUGAGACGUCUGUGAAGUGAAGUGAAGUCUGUAAAGAAUUGCGUGAUGUGGGGGGAAUGGUGAAAGCAUGUGUUUGUUCAUCUGUUCAUGUUUUGUUCUGCAGGAACAGCUCGCUGCAUGUUCAGUAGCACUGCGCCGUGUUUUUCUGGCAGAUCCGCUUUUAAAGUCAAAUGGUUGAGCUUGAAACGACGGCUAGAUAUUUUUAACCCGGCAUUGUCUCGUGAUUGCACUACUAAAAUUCACUAAAAUUCGAGCCUAAAAAUCGAGCCGUGAGCUGUUGUGCGACACGACCUCGAAGGUCCUGAUCUUGGUGCGUAAAAUCAAAUGAGUGUGGCGUAGUAUCGGUGUAGCAAGCAACCACGGCACAACGUACUGAAAAUGCCAGUACAUAGGGGUGAAUGGGCAUUGAAAAAGUGUACCUUUGAAUCCUAGGAGGUCCCACUGAGUAGCAAAAGUACCUCCGCAAGGUACCUUCGCAAGAGAUGAGUGAUGAGGACGGAACUGUGGUGAUAGAGCGACUGCUGGUGGCAUUCAGAAGGUUAUGUUGAAGACCGAAAGGUAGAAGGUGUUGGAAUCAUUCCAUCUUGCUGUCCUGUCCGAGAGCUGCCUUGGGCUUUCUGCCGCUCUUUCUAGACAGACGUCGGUGCAACUCCCCCUGAAGUCGUCCCAGGACGCGCACUAAACCCCGUGUCUCCUGUUCUUUCCGUGCUGGCAUAACUGCCUAUAGCAGCAGUUGCACUGCGGUGCUAACGUGCAAGCAAGAAAUUGAAAUAGUCAGCUAGCAGCAAAUUGCAAGCGAAGCCGUACAUGCAUCAGGAAUGCAAGAGUGUACAUGCAUCAUGUUCCAAGGGAAAGGAUAGGAUCAGGGACAAGUUCGAGGAGAGUUUUUGCCAUCCACUAGAUCACCUUCGAGUUCAUCAGGGGAACAUUCAUGUUGAAACACGUCGCCGGUGAAUCUACAUAAACAUCUUGUGCUGUGCAAACCAUGUGAAGCCAUCACUUGUGCUUCCUGUUGUUGCUUGUCUCGUAAUGCUUCGGCAGUUGCGUCUGUCAUUUGAAAAUAGUCUUUUGUUUUUAUUUGUCUUGCUAUUGUUAUAGAUUGUGGCUAUUUCUCCCGAACACGUUGUCUCUGACUACUGUUGCCUGAUAAAACGAGUAAUAGUACAGUUCACUGUACUUUUAUUGAAACCCUUUAUGCUAGCAGGAAGUGGGCUCUCAUAACCAAAUAUUUGUGACUCUUAGAUGUGUAGAUAUAAGUACUGAUUGUGGCUACAAGACACGGGCAGUUGUGUUUCGUGUGAGCAAGGAGUGCUUCCCGUGCGGUGUCACCUGUGCAGCAGUCUCUUUGCCAGCGCGGACUACCUGAAGAAGCACCACCGGGUGAAACACUUCCGAGCGGGGGGAAGGCACAAGUGCAACUUCUGCAGCUACUCCAGCGACUACACCACCAACGUGAGGGCCCACGAGAGAAAACAUACGGGAGAGAAGCCGUACGUGUGCGAGACCUGCGGGAAGGGAUUUACCCGGAAGGCAAACCUGGAGGUGCAUUCCAAGACGGUCCACGAGUGCUGAGAGGACUGCUGCAGCCGUCGCUCUGCGCUGCGGGGACAGAACCCUGCAGACGUUUUUCCAGGACUGUUCACAAGUGCUCAGAGGACCUGCAGUUGUCGCUGCGCUGCGCGGACAGAGCCCUGCGGACGUUUCAAAGACGGUCCACAAGUGCUGAGAGGACUGCUGCAGCCGUUGCUGCACUGCGCGGACAGAGGCCUGCGGACGUUUUUCCAGGACUGUUCACGAGUGCUGAGAGGACCUGCAGUCAUUGCUGCACUGCGCGAGCAGAGCCCUGCAGACGUUUCCAAGACGGUCCACGAGUGCUGAGAGGACUGCUGCAGCCGUGGCUGCGCGGACAGAGCCCUGCGGACGUUUUUCCAAGACUGUUCGCAAGUGCUGAGAGGACCUGCAGCUGUCGCUGCGCUGCGAGGACAGAGCCCUGCGGACAUUCUCGAGGACUUCCUCGACGUUAGAAGGGCGUCUAGGUUGACACGUAAUCUACGCAAACGAAUACUACAGUGCCAAAUGUGCAAAGGGCUGUCUUUUAACGACUUUUGGACCAUGAUGCUGGUGACACGAUCACGUCGGGAAGCGAAAAUUUUUUUGUACGGUUGUACGGAACAAGACGUCUAUGCAUCGAAGAGGGACUUGCGACGGACUCCUUGGAGCAGUCCUGGAGCGGCAGCGCGCCGGCCCACGAAGCACCCCCGGGUGGGCGCCACAGGGUUCGGCGCUUCUACAGGGAAGGGCGGCACCACUGUCGCUUCUGCAAUUACUCCAGCGACAAGACGACCAACGUGAAAGCGCACGAAAGGACGCACACGGGAGAGACGCCGCACGCGUGCCAAGUGUGCUGCAAGAGGUUUUCUCGAAAGUUUGCACUCGACAGGCACGUGAGGACAAUCCACGAACCCUGGGCAUCAUCCUUGAGCAGACAUUUCAACGGAGACAACAACUAGAGAGUGUCACGGAAGACUGCACCUGUGUUACGGAACGUUGGUGAAUGUCGUUGAGUGGUGCCCAAGCUUAAGAACGUAGGGAGAAAAAUGGGGUGGGGGGGAGUCACGGUGAAGCGGGGGAAGGGAUUGGGAAGAGGGAAAUAGGGAAAAAUGUAAAAAGAAGAUUUGUAAAUGGCGCUGAGUGGUACCGUAGCUUAAGAACGUUGGGAAGACGGGGAGAGUCACGAUGAAAACAUUAAGCGGGGAAGGGAUUGGGA